rnacentral:snRNA from 1 species
AUCACUUCUUGGCCUUUUGGCUAAGAUCAAGUUUAGCAUCUGUUCUUCUUUUUUCUUUUUUGCUUUUUUUUAAAUUAACAUAUAAUGUAUUAUUUGUUUCAGGGGUACAGGUCUGUGAUUCACCAGUCUUACACAAUACACAGUGCUCCCUACAACAC